GCCAAAUCCUCCAGUUGUUGCUGCUUUGGCAGAAGAUGAGGGAUAUGGUCCCCCGUCCACAGAGGGAAUACACAGCUCAACCUGCAAGUAGUAGGUGUUAACCAUGAGGAGAUGAUCCAAAGCUGCCAGGCACACCAUCUCCUGAAAGCAUAGUCUAGUAGGGCUGUGUCCUCCUGCAUGCACAAACCACCAGUGUCUCCUGGGGCAUCUGUGGCUGCUGUUCUGCCUGCUGUCACCAGGUGGCACCGUCUCCUAGCUUAUUCCUCUUCCCAGUUAAGACCCAUCAAGAAUGGCCUGGCAGUGUGUUAGGAGACAGAGGAAGGAAAACUGGGGUCCACACCAAGAAUCCUCCCACGGACAAGCUUCAGGCCUGCCUGGCCACCAGUGACCCAGUGCCUCCCCAGCUCUGGUCCAUGGUGAUCUGGGCCUGAGGGUCCUCACUUACUGUACUGCUAGCAUUUAGGAUGUGGAUCAGAGUUCCUUUUCCUCACAGGGGGCUGCUGAAUGGCCCUGCUGAAUUGUCACUGUCCCUGUGGACAGACCAUUGGCC
rnacentral:lncRNA from 1 species